rnacentral:rRNA from 1 species
UACGAAGGGGGCUAGCGUUGCUCGGAAUUACUGGGCGUAAAGGGCGCGUAGGCGGACAGUUUAGUCAGAGGUAAAAGCCCAGGGCUCAACCUUGGAACUGCCUUUGAUACUGACUGUCUUGAGUUCGGGAGAGGUGAGUGGAAUGCCGAGUGUAGAGGUGAAAUUCGUAGAUAUUCGGCGGAACACCAGUGGCGAAGGCGACUCACUGGCCCGAUACUGACGCUGAGGCGUGAAAGCGUGGGGAGCAAACAGG